UACAGAGGGUGCGAGCGUUGUUCGGAAUUAUUGGGCGUAAAGAGCUCGUAGGCGGUUUGUCGCGUCGGCUGUGAAAACUCGGGGCUCAACCCCGAGCCUGCAGUCGAUACGGGCAAACUCGAGUGCGGUAGGGGAGACUGGAAUUCCUGGUGUAGCGGUGAAAUGCGUAGAUAUCGUGAGGAACACCAGAGGCGAAGGCGGCUACCUGGACAAUUGCUGACGCUCAGGCACGAAAGCGUGGGGAGCAAAAGGG
rnacentral:rRNA from 1 species